AUGAACGCUAGCGACAGGCCUAACACAUGCAAGUCAGGGGCAGCACAAGGAGCAAUCUGAGGUGGCGACCGGCGCACGGGUGAGUAACACGUAUGCAACCUGCCUGUAAGCGGGGAAUAACCCGUUGAAAGACGGACUAAUACCGCAUAAUACUAAAUUACUGCAUGGUAAUUUAUUUAAACAUUUAUGGCUUACAGAUGGGCAUGCGCAUGAUUAGCUAGUUGGAGAGGUAACGGCUCCCCAAGGCAACGAUCAUUAGGGGUUCUGAGAGGAAGGUCCCCCACACUGGUACUGAGACACGGACCAGACUCCUACGGGAGGCAGCAGUGAGGAAUAUUGGUCAAUGGACGAGAGUCUGAACCAGCCAAGUCGCGUGCAGGAAGAAUGUCCCUAUGGAUUGUAAACUGCUUUUGCAGGGGAAUAAAGUGCAUCACGUGUGAUGUUUUGUAUGUACUCUGCGAAUAAGGAUCGGCUAACUCCGUGCCAGCCGCUGC
rnacentral:rRNA from 1 species